CCCCACACUAACUUGGCAGAAUGCACUCUUUUUGCUGGGGAGAAAGAAGAGGGGAAGGAUGAUUACUCAGAGACUGCUCAAGUCACUCUGAGGUUGACAAACCUGAGGAAGUCAUCACUUCUUUAUCCUGUGCCUUGGAAUAAAGACAUAUGAAAUGAAACCACUCCAACUCUAAGCUUGGAGUCAAGUACGACCCAUUCAAAGUCAAACAGACAAGAUUAGGAAACCAAUGCGAACCUACAGACCAAAGACUAGAAGAAAAAAGAUUAACUGCUCCUUUUCCUCCACAUUCUUAAGGCCUUCUAAGAAAUUUCCUUCCCAAUUCACUUGGUAAGUGCCUGCUCAGGCUGUUAUUCUAUAAUGAAUUCAUGUCUUUUCUCCUAUUUUUCCUGUGCCGCCCUUGUUAUCUGGAGUCAGGAUUCUGAGCUCUGACUUCCCUCCUUGUCAUGUUGCCUGAGGAGAAUUGCAGACAGACCCUCAGACCUCAAAUAGUCUAGAUUUUGAAGACCCUGCUUUGGCUGAGAUGAGGCCAGCAUUGGAGUAGAAAUGCUGCUUGCUUCACUGAAGCUACAGGUAGAAGCUGACUACCAAAGGAGAAGGCUGAGGAGAAAUUGCUCCAUGAGAUAAGGCAAGACAUUUAUCCCUGAAUGCUGUCUCUCCAAAUGCACAGAAACAUGUCAUAAAGUGUGGGACUAGGGUCUCUAAAGGACAUGUAAUACCUCAUUUCUGGAGAUAUGGUCUAACAUGAAAGGGUCAUAAUCGAUGGUCAAGUCACAAAAUUUAUUUCUAGAGUCAUUUUACUAAAUAUGGAGAGAUCUGCAAAAAUUGUAUGCCUGGGGAAAAUCCCAAUCAGACCAACUGACCCAGACCAAUCAAUGACAACUCAGAGUAGUAAUGAAAAAUUCAUUUAGACUAACUCCCAUAAUUUGCUAAGAGGCACUGUACUAAGUAUAUAACACAAUAUCUCAUUGUGUGAUCCUUAUAAUAGCUCUAUGAGGUACAUGUCAUUCUUCCUAUUUUUUAGACAGAAAAGUCUCUGAUAAAUAACUUGUCCAAAGUCACGUAUUUACCACAUUUACCAGAGUUAUAACCCAAAUCGGUCUGACUCUAAAUGCUCUUAGCCAUUCAGUCCUACUGCAAAAUAAGCACACCAGUGGAGAGCAAUAGAGAAUGGGAACGCAGUCACAAUGGGAGCCUGUCAUUGGAUCUCAUGUAUGCAGAGGUUCCUUCUUCCAGGAGAGCUUUGCCCUUGUCCUCAUGAACUUUUAUGUCAAUACAUUCAAUGCACUGUAUUGGAUUUCUAGAUUGGGAGCUAAAAAAAGAACAGAUUUCUAAAUAUCAGCUAUCUUAUUUUACCAGCUUGCCUUAAACCAGUUACAGAAUAUCUCUAUUUAUAAUUAUUUUUACCUAAAAAUAGGAAUAAAACUACUCUUCAAUAUGUGAUUUUUAAAAAGGAUGAUAAAAUCAAAGGAAUUUAGAAUAAUCCUUGCACAUAGUGGGCACUUAGAAACUUUUGCUUCCUUAUUGACUCCCUUCUCCUUACAUUUCAAUCUUGUUCCAUGUCUCAUGGCCUCUUCAGAGCAGAGACUAUGUAGUAUUUACCUUCAUAUCUUCAGACAAAAUGCUUAGCAUAUAGUCGGUGGUCAGUUACUGGAAAUGAUUUAAAGACAUUGAGAAUUACUUCCUUUGAAAUUUUAAGAGGUGUGGUAAAACUUUGGUUUCAGAAUAUAUCUUUAUUGAUUUUUUAAAUAUGUAUUUUUCUUAUAUAUUAUGGUCAACCUCUUGGGAUCUUUAGAAAAGAACAUUUUCCAGUUUUUUUGAAUCUCGGGCCAAGAGAAUUAGAACACUCCAUAAAAUUACACAGGUAUAUCUGAUAAAGGCCAUACUCUAUUUUUCCAUAUAAGUAUAAAACUGUUGUAUAAAAAAUUACCUUCUGGCCAGGUGUAGUGGCUCACACCUGUAAUUUCAGCACUUUGGGAGGCCAAGGCAUGCAGAUCACUUGAGGCCAGGAGUUCAAGGCCAGCCUGGCCAACAUGGCGAAACCCCCCUCUACUAAAAUACAAAUAUUAGCUGGGCCUGGUGGCACGUGCCUGUAAUCCUAGCUACUGUGGAGGCUGAGGUGGGAGAAUUGCUUGAACCCAGGAGGCGGAGGUUGAAGUGAGCCAAGAUCAUGCCACUGCACUCUAGCCUGGGCAACAGAGCAAGACUCUGUCUCAAAUAUAUAAAUAAAUAAAUUACCUUGUAAAAUAUUAUCCUCUUCCCUCAAAUAUAUACAGUAAAAGAUGUCUGUCUAAUAUUAUAAUAUAUUUUGUUUAGCAAAAAUACAUUAGUCAGUUAUUUAUCUUAAAUUUCCUUUAUCCUCCUGAGUCUAACAUGUUUAUUUUUAUACUGGACUUUGGUCUAUCCAUUUCACAUAUGGGUCAACUAUUUCCUAUACAGAUAGUUUAGUUAUCUGUUAGCUGCAUAGCAACCUAAUCCCAAAAUAGUGUUUUAACAUUUCUUCACCAUCGCUGAGUUGUCUGGACUCAGCUGAAUGGUUGUUCUGCUUCCUAUGAUGUCAGCGAGGGCUAUAGUCAUGUGAGGUCAUACGUGGCCUACAACAUCCAAGAUGGCUGCCUCCUAUAACUGGCAACGGAUGUAAGCUGUUGGUUGAGAAAUGCUAGUAAGCAGGUCUCCUAAGUUUUCCUCCACAUGACCUCUCCAUGUGGCUGGUUUCUGAGAAGGAGUACCCAAAGAGUGAACAUUUCAAGAGAAGGAAGCAGAAGCUAAAGGUCCCUUAAGGCCUCCUUUCUGUGCAUUCAGUUGCUCAAAGGCCAGCCCAGAUUCAAAGGAGGAGAAAUAAACACUCCUGUUGAUCUGAUGUGCAUUAAAGAGAAGAAAUUAGUGAGUCAUUUUUAAAGACUGAUCAUUAAAUAUAGUUACCCUGUUAUAUUUUUUCAUAAAUGAUUUCCUUCUCCAUUCUACCCCUAUAAAUUUUUCUCUAUAUGUGAGAAUUUAAAAUCUGUGGUUUCUUUCUAUGUACUAAUCUACACAUAGUUGUGUUUAUUAUUUGUCUUUGAUGAAUAUAUUAUAUGAUACUGAAAGCCUG
rnacentral:lncRNA from 1 species